UGGCCAGCAUGGACCUUUUUCACAGUAGACAUUUUGACUUGUCAUAGUAGGAAAAGCACAGCUGAAAUUGAGAACCUUAACGAUGGCUCAAUUCCAUCAAAUGUUCCAGUAAGCUAUUUCAGUGAUUCAACAUACACAAUACCAGGGCCUCUCCUAAGUGCCAUCAUUAAUGCAGCCAUCAGAAGCCAUGU